rnacentral:rRNA from 1 species
AGUGAACGCUGGCGGUAGGCCUAACACAUGCAAGUCGAACGGCAGCACAGUAAGAGCUUGCUCUUACGGGUGGCGAGUGGCGGACGGGUGAGGAAUACAUCGGAAUCUACUUUUUCGUGGGGGAUAACGUAGGGAAACUUACGCUAAUACCGCAUACGACCUACGGGUGAAAGCAGGGGAUCUUCGGACCUUGCGCGAUUGAAUGAGCCGAUGUCGGAUUAGCUAGUUGGCGGGGUAAAGGCCCACCAAGGCGACGAUCCGUAGCUGGUCUGAGAGGAUGAUCAGCCACACUGGAACUGAGACACGGUCCAGACUCCUACGGGAGGCAGCAGUGGGGAAUAUUGGACAAUGGGCGCAAGCCUGAUCCAGCCAUACCGCGCGGGUGAAGAAGGCCUUCGGGUUGGAAAGCCCUUUUGUUGGGAAAGAAAAGCAGCAGGUUAAUACCCCGCUGUUCUGACGGUACCCAAAGAAUAAGCACCGGCUAACUUCGUG